rnacentral:rRNA from 1 species
CAGUCGCCGCGGUAAUACAGAGGAUGCAAGCGUUAUCCGGAACGAUUGGGCGUAAAGCGUCUGUAGGUGGCUUUUCAAGUCCGCCGUCAAAUCCCAGGGCUCAACCCUGGACAGGCGGUGGAAACUACCAAGCUGGAGUACGGUAGGGGCAGAGGGAAUUUCCAGUGGAGCGGUGAAAUGCGUUGAGAUCGAAAAGAACACCAACAGCGAAAGCACUCUGCUGAGACGACACUGACACUAAGAGACGAAAGCUAGGGGAGCAAAUGGGAUUAGAUACCCCCGUAGUCCCUGUCUCUUAUAC